CCUACGGGUGGCAGCAGUCGAGAAUCAUUCACAAUGGGGGAAACCCUGAUGGUGCGACGCCGCGUGGGGGAAUGAAGGUCUUCGGAUUGUAAACCCCUGUCAUGUGGGAGCAAAUUAAAAAGAUCGUACCACAAGAGGAAGAGACGGCUAACUCUGUGCCAGCAGCCGCGGUAAUACAGAGGUCUCAAGCGUUGUUCGGAAUCACUGGGCGUAAAGCGUGCGUAGGCUGUUUCGUAAGUCGUGUGUGAAAGUCGCGGGCUCAACCCGCGGACGGCACAUGAUACUGCGAGACUAGAGUAAGGGAGGGGGAACCGGAAUUCUCGGUGUAGCAGUGAAAUGCGUAGAUAUCGAGAGGAACACUCGUGGCGAAGGCGGGUUCCUGGACAUUAACUGACGCUGAGGCACGAAGGCCAGGGGAGCGAAAGGGAUUAGAUACCCUAGUAGUC
rnacentral:rRNA from 1 species